GACUACCCGGGUAUCUAAUCCCGUUCGCUACCCACGCUUUCGUGCCUCAGCGUCAGCUCGGCGCCAGUCAGCUGCCUUCGCUUUUGGUAUUCCCCAUGAUAUCAACGGAUUUCACCCCUACACCAUGAGUUCUACUGACCUCUCACCUGCUCUAAGUUGUGCCGUUUCUCCCGCCCAUUCCCGGUUAAGCCGGGAGCUUUCACAGGAGACUAACACAACCGCCUACGCACCCUUUACGCCCAAUGAUUCCGGAUAACGCUUGGGGCACUCGUAUUACCGCUGCUGCUGGCACGAGUUUAGCAACCCCUUAUUCCUGAGGUACCGUCAAUAAACUUCUUCCCUCAUAAAAGGUGUUUACGUCCCGAAGGACUUCAUCCUCCACGCGGCGUCGCUCCGUCAGGCUUUCGCCCAUUGCGGAAGAUUCUCGACUGCAGCCGCCCGUAGG
rnacentral:rRNA from 1 species